ensembl:lncRNA
ACCAGGCAUCCUGGUGGGAUGCAGAAGGAGAGCCGCAGACAGCCACGGCAUGGGGACUGAGCAGGGUCUCACUCAGCUGUGUCUCCGGUGUCCCUGCUGUAGUGGCUUGAAUAGUGACCUCCAAAAGAUACGGCCACCAUGAAGUUAAUAGCCUGCUCCACCAUGUGCCCUCCCACCAUGAUGUGCUGCCUUGCCACAGGCCCAAAAGUAACAAGGCCAACUGACCAUGGACUGAAAGUUCCAAAUUUGUGAGCCAAAUAAGCCUUUCCUCUCUUUAAGUUGAUCGUCUCAGGUAUUUUGUUACAGUUAUCCAGGAACUCUUUGGGUACCACAAACUUCCCUGGGCUUCCCGUUCUUGCAGCAUUUGGAACUGGCCCUUUCAGGAAAUAAACAGAAGAUUGAAAGGUUGGCCAGGUACUGCAAAGGUCAAACAAGACUGAGCAUGUUGUCAGUUACAGCCACAUGGCGUGGUGGAAUAAAUGCUUAUUGGAGGCCCUACCCAAGUCUGGCAACCUGGCAAGGAAUGGAGACUUUAACAUUGCCCUUCCCACUUGCUGUCUGAGGAUGACAGUGAAA